rnacentral:lncRNA from 1 species
AAAAAAUGAAUAGCAUCAAGCCUGACCUGAUCCAGCUGCGUAAGAUCCGAGACCAGCACCUCGUAUGGCUCAAUCACAGGGGAGUGAGGCAGAGGCGCCUGAACGCCUGGCUGGGGAUCAAGAGUGAGGACACAGAUGGAGGCUAUUUUAUCAAUGAGGACGAUGAGAGCCUGCCGCAUUAUGAUGAGAAGACCUGGUUUGUGGAGGAUGUGAACCGAGUACAGGCAGAGGACCUGCUUUAUGGGAAGCCAGACGGUGCAUUCUUAAUUCGUGAGAGUAGCAAGAAAGGAUGUUACGCUUGUUCUGUGGUACGGGGAGGUGAAGCACUGUGUCAUCUACAGCACUGCUCGAGGAUAUGGCUUUGCAGAACCCUACAACCUGUACGGCUCGCUGAAGGAGCUGGUGCUCCACUACCAGCAGACAUCCCUGGUCCAGCACAACGACUCCCUCAACGUCACGCUCGCCUACCCUGUCCACGCACAGAUGCCCUCUCUCUGCAGAUAAGCAGAGUGGAAGAGACAUGCUCUCCAGCAGUUCUUUCCUAUGGUUUUUAUUAGACUACGAUGAGGGCACUCUUUCGACGUAGACUGCCUGUUUUGCACAAGUGAUUCUGUGAAUGUGAAGUGGAGAGGCCAAGCAGUAGCUUGGAUUUGGGGAGAAAUGAGGCCCGGGUCUCUGGCCUCGGCGUGCUGCUGCACUGAUGGACUAAGCUGGAAGCAGUUAUUGGUUUCAUGGGGUUCGGUUUUGUUGUCAGGCACCUUUGAAGCUAUAGUUAGCUAAAGGAGGACUCACGUUUGUGGUCAGAGACCUCAGUAAAUCACAUGGGCCCGUCACAUUACAUGUUAUUCCAUACUGUGGGUGAAGCUUUUGCCAGAAGAAGGGAUCGCUUAGCGUGGAGUUCAGACUAUCUGGGAAAAUAAUCCACAAGCUUUCCUAUUUGCCCUUUUUGUGAGCCUGCGGUUAAGGCAGUGUGCAUAGCCUGCCCAGCCUGCCCUCAGGCUUCCAUGGCUGGGAUUUUAGGCCAUGAGUCUGCUCCAUGUGGUUUAAGCCUUCCAGCUAAGUGAAGUUAGACAGAGGAGAGGGCAGGCAUCUGUUUCUGGCUUCAUAGUCAUUUAAGAGUCCAGCUGCGCCAGAGUCAAUCCUGGAGCCAUAACAGGCUCAGUAUGACUCAGUUGCUUGAGCCCAGAGAUUUGCAGUCAGGCACUCUAGAUAUGCAGCCUGUACCUGGGUCUUGGCUCAUAAGGCUUACAAUCAGGGAAGUUGGAGUUUGGGGGCCAAAAUAAAGACGAAUAUGACUUUCCCUGAGCACUUCCUUUGGUGACAGUGUCUAGAAUGAACAACCGUAUAGAGAUAGGUCAAAAGCUUUGGGUAAUGGUUGUCACAGGUGAGGGUAGGGUAUGCUAUUGCUUUUCUUGUUCAUGCUCCAGUAUGAAAUGAGAGGAAAUCGGGGGUUGGGGAUUUAGCUCAGUGGUAGAGCGCUUGCCUAGGAAGCGCAAGGCCCUGGGUUCGGUCCCCAGCUCCGG